rnacentral:rRNA from 1 species
AUACGGAGGAUCCGAGCGUUAUCCGGAUUUAUUGGGUUUAAAGGGAGCGUAGGUGGAUUGUUAAGUCAGUUGUGAAAGUUUGCGGCUCAACCGUAAAAUUGCAGUUGAAACUGGCAGUCUUGAGUACAGUAGAGGUUGGCGGAAUUCGUGGGGUAGCGGUGAAAUGCUUAGAUAUCACGAAGAACUCCGAUUGCGAAGGCAGCUCACUAGACUGUUACUGACACUGAUGCUCGAAAGUGUGGGUAUCAAACAGGAUUAGAUACCCUGGUAGUCCACACAGUAAACGAUGAAUACUCGCUGUUUGCGAUAUACAGUAAGCGGCCAAGCGAAAGCAUUAAGUAUUCCACCUGGGGAGUACGCCGGCAACGGUGAAACUCAAAUGAAUUGACGGGG